rnacentral:rRNA from 1 species
GGAAAUCUCACCAGGCCCGGACACUGGAAGGAUUGACAGAUUGAUAGCUCUUUCUUGAUUCGGUAGGUGGUGGUGCAUGGUUGUUCUUAGUUGGUUGAGUGAUUUGUCUUGUUAAUUCCGAUAACGAACGAGACUCUGUCCUGCUAAAUAGUGACGCGGUUCAUCGAACCGUGGGCCACUUCUUAGAGGGACUAUCGGAUUCAAACCGAUGGAAGUGUGAGGCAAUAA